rnacentral:rRNA from 1 species
UACGUAGGCAGCGAGCGUUGUUCGGAGUUACUGGGCGUAAAGAGUGCGUAGGCGGUUUGUUGCGUCGGCUGUGAAAUCCCGAGGCUCAACCUCGGGUCUGCAGUCGAUACGAGCAAACUAGAGUGUUGCAGGGGAGACUGGAAUUCCUGGUGUAGCGGUGAAAUGCGCAGAUAUCAGGAGGAACACCGGUGGCGAAGGCGGGUCUCUGGGCCGAUACUGACGCUGAGGAGCGAAAGCGUGGGGGAGCGAACAGG